rnacentral:rRNA from 1 species
UACGAAGGGGGCGAGCGUUGUUCGGAUUUACUGGGCGUAAAGGGCGCGCAGGCGGUUCUGGUUGUCGAGUGUGAAAGCCCCGGGCUCAACCUGGGAACUGCGCUCGAAACGGCGGAACUAGAGUUUGGGAGAGGAGAGUGGAAUUCCCAGUGUAGAGGUGAAAUUCGUAGAUAUUGGGAAGAACACCGGUGGCGAAGGCGGCUCUCUGGACCGAUACUGACGCUGAGGCGCGAAAGCGUGGGGAGCAAACAGG